CGGACGGGGGAGUAAUGUCUGGGAAACUGCCUGAUGGAGGGGGGUAACUACUGGAAACGGUAGCUAAUACCGCAUAACGUCGCAAGACCAAAGAGGGGACCGUUCGGGCCUCUUGCCAUCGGAUGUGCCCAGAUGGGAUUAGCUAGUAGGUGGGGUAAAGGCUCACCUAGGCGACGAUCCCUAGCUGGUCUGAGAGGAUGACCAGCCACACUGGAACUGAGACACGGUCCAG
rnacentral:rRNA from 1 species